UUGACAUACUAAGAACUUUCCAGAGAUGGAUUGGUGCCUUCGGGAACUUAGAUACAGGUGCUGCAUGGCUGUCGUCAGCUCGUGUCGUGAGAUGUUGGGUUAAGUCCCGCAACGAGCGCAACCCUUUUCCUUAUUUGCCAGCGGGUUAAGCCGGGAACUUUAAGGAUACUGCCAGUGACAAACUGGAGGAAGGCGGGGACGACGUCAAGUCAUCAUGGCCCUUACGGCCAGGGCUACACACGUGCUACAAUGGUCGGUACAAAGGGUUGCUACCUCGCGAGAGGAUGCUAAUCUCAAAAAGCCGAUCGUAGUCCGGAUCGCAGUCUGCAACUCGACUGCGUGAAGUCGGAAUCGCUAGUAAUCGCGGAUCAGAAUGCCGCGGUGAAUACGUUCCCGGGCCUUGUACACACCGCCCGUCACACCAUGGGAGUUUGUUGCACCAGAAGUAGGUAGUCUAACCGCAAGGAGGACGCUUACCACGGUGUGGCCGAUGACUGGGGUGAAGUCGUAACAAGGUAGGCGUAGAUGA
rnacentral:rRNA from 1 species